UGUCACCAUGGCAGCCAGGCCUCCUUAGCUUGGAUUGGUUGCUGGACCACAUCACUGGUCCUAUGACUGACCCCAUGAUGGGGACUGGUUGCCAUGGUUCUAUCAAGUGUGCAAACAAGGAGCUACCAUCCUCCUUCAGGCUCAGGGGACAGGCCAACCAGCCCUGUGUCUAAUGGAAAAUCCCUGGAAGGAGAGAAGAUUAGAGAUGGGGACCAGAGUACCUUUGAGCCAUUCCCUAGUCUGAGUCACAAGUCACAACCUUGCAGCUGAUUGAGUCCUCAGGGGAAGCCUCUCAUCUCCCACACCUUCUUGAUGCUCUCAAGAAGGACCAUUUCAGGCUGACCCAAAGUUGGAUUAUUAAAGCUGAUUUUCA
rnacentral:lncRNA from 1 species